rnacentral:rRNA from 1 species
UGUACCAACGGGGGGCAGCAGUGAGGAAUAUUGGUCAAUGGGCGCGAGCCUGAACCAGCCAAGUCGCGUGAGGGAAGACGGUCCUAUGGAUUGUAAACCUCUUUUGUCGGGGAGCAAAAGACGCCACGUGUGGCGUUCCGAGAGUACCCGAAGAAAAAGCAUCGGCUAACUCCGUGCCUGCAGCCGCGGCAAUACGGAGGAUGCGAGCGUUAUCCGGAUUUAUUGGGGUUAAAGGGUGCG